GCUAAGAAUCUUCCGCAAUGGACGAAAGUCUGACGGAGCGACGCCGCGUGAGCGAUGAAGGUGCUCUGCAUUGUAAAGCUCUUUCGGGAAGGAAGAAUAAGGGUCCAUGAAUAGUGGAUCUGAUGACGACCCUUCCUAAAGAAGCCCCGGCUAACUACGUGCCAGCAGCCGCGGCAAUACGUAGGGGGUAAGCGUUGUUCGGAAUCACUGGGCGUAAAGGGCAUGUAGGCGGGAAAGUAAGUUGGGGGUGAAAUCUACGGGCUCAACCUGUAAACUGCCUUCAAAACUGCUUUUCUUGAAUGUGGGAGGGGAGAUCGGAAUUCCUAGUGUAGGAGUGAAAUCUGUAGAUAUUAGGAAGAACACCGAUGGCGAAGGCAGAUCUCUGGCCUGACAUUGACGCUGAUAUGCGAAAGCGUGGGGAGCGAACAGGAUUAGAAACCCGAGUAGUCC
rnacentral:rRNA from 1 species